UAGUGACAGAGAGAGGGAUGGGGUGACUAGUGACAGAUUAGUGACAGAGUGAGGAGGGGGUGACUAGUGACAGAGGGAGGGGGUAACACAGUGACAGAGUAAGGGGGUGACACAGUGACAGAGUUAGGGAGGGAGUAACUAGUGACAGAGAGAGGGAUGGGGUGACUAGUGACAGUCACCCCCCCCUCACUCUGUCACCAGUCAUCCCCUCACUCUGUCACUAGUCACCCCUUCCCUCCCUCACUCUGCCACUAGUCACCCAUUCCCUCACUCUGUCACUAGUCUCCCAUUCCCUCCCUCUGUCACUAGUCUCCCCUUCUCCUUCCCUCUGUCAC